rnacentral:lncRNA from 10 species
CAGACAUUGCAAUGCAGACACAUAAGAUUAGAAGCAAAACGCAGGAGGCUGGAGUUACCUUUCAUGGAAGGGUAAGCAGGAAGCAACUACAAGAUCAUCAUUUCAAAACAAUAUGAAAGCAGAAUGGGAAAUGCCAUGGCAUGCUCCCUCUUUUCAGGCAAUAUGGACACUUUGGGGAAGUUAUGAAGCGUCUCCCAUUCCCGCUUGAGGUACUCAAUAGAGCCCACAAACACAAUGUGCUUGAGCUCAUGGUAAUGAAAGUUGCUGGCACGGAGCGGCAUCACCAGGUUCCGGAGGCCGAUCAGGGCUGAGCUGACGUCGCCAAAGAUGCAGACCACGACAUGGCCACUCAGGACGGUCAUGGCAGCUUCACUUCGAGUCUACAACAGGGAGAAGUGGGUAAGAGUCAGAGAGAAGACUGCAUAGGGCUGUUGUAAGGAGUGAAAUAAAUCAUUUGUGCAAAGAAUCAAGCAAAUA